GGGCCAGUGGGAAUUUAUAGCCAAGGAGCAGUGUGGGGGUCAGUGGAUGGAAAAUUACUCAAAGGAAGCGUUGGGGUAAGGUGGAUCUGGCUAAACCUAACAGGAUUCUCACUGAAGACAGGCCAGGGUGAUCAGACAUCACCUGGGGGAUGGUGCAGGAUGAGAAACCUGGUCAGACAUUGAGGCGAUCGGAUGUUGAUGUUGCUGGUUCUUGGUAAAACGACUUAGCUAGUGUCCUUUGCUAAAACUGGAUUUUACAAGGACGUGCACAAACAGGCCUAGCAGGAGAUUCAGAAGCCUGACUAAAAUUUGGCCAAGGAAAAAAAUCCUUGUCACCAGGAAAGUGAGGACUAUUGUCACCAAAUUCAGACUGCCAAUUGUUAAACAUUUACCUGCACAUACUGGGCUCAUCUUCAUUAUUGGUAAAAUGAGCUAGAUGCUAUUUUCCAUUAGCUCACACUCCAAUUCCAAUCGACCUGACCAUCAGAAGAGACAAAAAGGGAAAAUCCUGGCCAGUUCUCCCCUACCUGAUCAACCAGUAGCAUAAUCAGAUUUGCAAGACCUCAAGAAAAGAAACCUGAAAAUGCCACUGGAGGUGUGUGUUUUGCCAAAGAAAAAAG
rnacentral:lncRNA from 1 species